rnacentral:rRNA from 1 species
AUUGAACGCUGGCGGAAUGCUUUACACAUGCAAGUCGAACGGCAGCACGGGGCAACCUGGUGGCGAGUGGCGAACGGGUGAGUAAUACAUCGGAACGUGCCCAGUCGUGGGGGAUAACGUAGCGAAAGUUACGCUAAUACCGCAUACGAUCUAAGGAUGAAAGCGGGGGAUCGCAAGACCUCGCGCGAUUGGAGCGGCCGAUGUCAGAUUAGGUAGUUGGUGUGGUAAAGGCCCACCAAGCCGACGAUCUGUAGCUGGUCUGAGAGGACGACCAGCCACACUGGGACUGCGACACGGCCCAGACUCCUACGGGAGGCAGCAGUGGGGAAUUUUGGACAAUGGGCGCAAGCCUGAUCCAGCCAUUCCGCGUGCAGGAUGAAGGCCUUCGGGUUGUAAACUGCUUUUGUACGGAGCGAAAAGGCUCUCUCUAAUACAGGGGGCUCAUGACGGUACCGUAAGAAUAAGCACCGGCUAACUACGUGCCAGCCGCCGCCGUAA